rnacentral:lncRNA from 1 species
GAAGUUGUCCCCGCCCUCAGAGCUGAUAAACGGACUGACCGCCGCUCGUCCCAGGUCUCCGCGAGCUUCUCACCGGAGGCAGCGUUUACUGGAUGAAAGAUGGCGGAAAGUGGCUGCGGGCGCCACGGCUUUAUUUCUUGAUUCCUGAAUUUUUCUAGUUCUUCUCUGAACGGUACCGCUGCCGCCCCGGGAGUGGCUUCGUUUCAAGAGUCGUAGAGAAGUUUUCUGGAAAUGAGCCGCAGCUGAAAACUAUAAUGACCCGACGCAGCGAAGGCAUGUGGGUCCUGCAGCAGCAGCAGUACACCGACCCCUCCCCUCCCCUGCCCGCAGAUCACGUCCUCUUCUCCGGGGCAGUCUCCUUCCCAGGGGCUUUUGAUCAGCUGGGCGCCCCUCUGGUUGUGUUCCCUGUGGCUGGACAGGCUCAGAUCUCCACGACGCUCAGUAAGGCUGAGGUGGUGGACUUCAUCAACUACUGCCAUUACCAGCACAAUAAAACACAGAAGAGCAGCUUGGUGUCAGUAGUGGCUGACCUCAGGGAAGCGUCUGCCUCCUCCACACGGUUCAUUGCCGAGACCCUGCUCCUACUUGAGCUGCAGAAGAGAACGGUGCACAGUGCAUAUAUAAUUCAGCCAAAGAGGAAAGACUCUCUUCGACUGUUGCUCAAACUGUGGACUUCUUCCAAAUCUCAGCCUGUUACUUUCAAGAAAGUUCUUCUGAAAGAGGUUUUCGAGCUCUCCAACUACAUUGACAGAAGUCAGCUGCCGGCCUCGCUGGGAGGAUAUCUUGUGUACUGUCACCAAAGCUGGGCCGUCUUCACUAAGGAGAUGGAUGCAUUUACAGAGCACCUUGGGUCAGCUGCACAGCGGUUGCCUGGCUGUCUCUCCUUUCUCCAGGCCUUGUCUAUGCUGCCUCUGCCCAGUUCAGCUCCUGAGCUCCAGCUCUUCUGCUCCACUAAUGAAGCCCGCUUCCAGCAGCUCCAGAGGUCAGGCAAACCAGCUUGAGUUCCCACUAGUGGUUAGCCUCAGAAUAUCUUUUUAAACCGCAGGAAGAUGAUUGUAAUUCUUCACAUUCUUUCUCUCAGCAUACUCCAGAUUUCAUAGUGCAUAUUGGCAUGGUUAAUGAAAUGAUUGAGGUGGCUAAAUCCUGAUAAUUUGGAUGAGAAUAAUCUCAAAUCGCAG